CCUCCUGAAAACCACUCGCCCCACAAGCAUUCCAGCCUGAAGGUUCGUCCUGUUUACUUCACUGAAGAAGAAGGAGAAGGAAAGGAGGAAGAGGAGAAGAGGAAGAGGAGAAGGAGAAGAGGAAGAGGAGAAGGAAAAGAGGAGAAUGCUGCUCUCCAGGUUUUUCUGCCGUUUCAAAUCUCCAGGACUCAGAAUCUUCUCCGCCGGUCCGGUCUGGUCCGCUGGUCUCGGGUCCGGCUUCAGCAGUCAGCCCCCAUCCAGAGGUAACCAUGAUGCAUUUGUCCGCUACAGUUUCGGUCGCCCCGUCCUCUCUCUCUCUCUCCCUGCCGGUCAGCAGUGUCGCUUCACCGUGACGCCCAUGUUGACCACGGUGGGUGACCUGCUGCGUGACAUCACAGCCAAGGACCCCGGGGUGCACACGGCCACCCUGCUCACCGGAGGCGGACAGAGGGUCUCUUCGUGCACCUUCAUGGAAACCGUGUUGAACGAAGACUUCCAGCUCGUCAUCAACGGCGUCACGCACAGCGUGCGCUCUCUCGGACAAGGCUCGUCUCACGAACACGUGCAGGGCGUGGACGACGUGAAGUACGUGGUGCGCCUCCUGCAGGCGGCGCUGGCGCCGCCCCAGAGGCAGCACGCCGCGCACGGCGAGCUGCUAGCGGCGCGCGAGCGGCUAGCGGCGCAGCUGCAGCCGCUGGAGGCGGUGAGCGUCAAGAUGGCGCAGGAGGCGGAGUCUAGAGCAUCACUUCUGGGGUGGGGGGGGCUGGCCUACCUGUCCCUGCAGGGAGGAUUCCUGGGUUACCUCACCUGGUAUGUGUUUGCGUGGGACGUCAUGGAGCCCAUCACCUUCUUCAUCUCCCUCACCACCAGCAUGAUCUUCUUCAGCUACUACGUCCUCACCAAGCAGGUCCUGAAGGACCCACGAGACCACAAGGACCCACGAGACCACAAGGACCCACGAGACCACAAGGACCCACUAGACCAGAAGGACCCACUAGACCAGAAGGACCCACUAGACCAGAAGGACCCACGAGACCAGAAGGACCCACGAGACCAGAAGGACCCACUAGACCAGAAGGACCCACGAGACCAGAAGGACCCACUAGACCACAAGGACCCACGAGACCAGAAGGACCCACUAGACCAGAAGGACCCACUAGACCAGAAGGACCCACGAGACCACAAGGACCCACUAGACCAGAAGGACCCACUAGACCAGAAGGACCCACGAGACCACAAGGACCCACUAGACCACAAGGACCCACUAGACCAGAAGGACCCACUAGACCAGAAGGACCCACGAGACCACAAGGACCCACUAGACCAGAAGGACCCACGAGACCACAAGGACCCACUAGACCACAAGGACCCACUAGACCAGAAGGACCCAUGAGACCACAAGGACCCACGAGACCACAAGGACCCACGAGACCAGAAGGACCCACGAGACCAGAAGGACCCACGAGACCACAAGGACCCACGAGACCAGAAGGACCCACUAGACCAGAAGGACCCACUAGACCAGAAGGACCCACGAGACCAGAAGGACCCACUAGACCACAAGGACCCACGAGACCAGAAGGACCCACUAGACCACAAGGACCCACUAGACCAGAAGGACCCACGAGACCACAAGGAUCCACGAGACCAGAAGGACCCACUAGACCAGAAGGACCCACUAGACCAGAAGGACCCACUAGACCAGAAGGACCCACGAGACCAGAAGGACCCACUAGACCAGAAGGACCCACGAGACCAGAAGGACCCACUAGACCACAAGGACCCACUAGACCAGAAGGACCCACGAGACCACAAGGAUCCACGAGACCAGAAGGACCCACUAGACCAGAAGGACCCACUAGACCAGAAGGACCCACGAGACCAGAAGGACCCACUAGACCAGAAGGACCCACUAGACCAGAAGGACCCACUCGGAGUUAAUCUAUCCAGAUGUGCGAGACCGUCAGUUCCUCCACUUCUUCCACCAGGGGGCGACGCAACAGAAGUUCAAUGUAAAC